rnacentral:rRNA from 1 species
GAUGAACGCUGGCGGCAUGCCUAACACAUGCAAGUCGAUCGGUAAGGCCCUUCGGAGUACACGAGAGGCGGACGGCUGCGUAACGCGUAGGAACACACCCUGCAGUGAGGGAUAAGACACCGAAAGGUGUUCUAAUACCGCAUACGGUCUUCGGAUUAAAGCAUUUAUGCGCUGAAGGAGUGGCCUGCGUCAUAUUAGAUAGUUGGUGAGGUAAUGGCUCACCAAGUCGAUGAUGUGUAGCUGGUCUGAGAGGAUGAUCAGCCAGACUGGAACUGAGACACGGUCCAGACUCCUACGGGAGGCAGCAGUGAGGAAUAUUUCACAAUGAGCGAAAGCUUGAUGGAGCAAUGCCGCGUGCAGGAUGAAGGCCCUCGGGUUGUAAACUGCUUUUAUAAGAGAAGAUUAUGACGGUAACUUAUGAAUAAGGGACGGCUAACUACGUG